AUAUUUAUCACUUAAUUAGUUUUCUUUUCCUAAAAUGUCAGUUCAAACCAAGAACACCAAAAUGAAUAAGGAAGCAGAAGAUGCUGCAUCAGUGAUUGUGCGAAAACAAAUUUUCAAGUGAAUGAUUGUGUAAUUGUUGGAUUUUGAAAGAUACAGAAAGAUGCCAAAGAAAAUCAAUAGCAACAUUAAAGGGUGAUGAGGACGAGAAAAUUAAAGAAUACAGGCUAUGUCAGUCUGAAGAUUUAAAAGUCGUUGAAGCUGGUGAAAACCCUUUUGUCCAAGGGUACAAGAUGCAAUGCUACCAUAUAUCACAAAUUAUUAUGGAAACCCAUAUUCAAGGACCCAUUCAUAUGGUUGGGGAAACGAAAAAGCUGUUGAACAAGCCCGUGAGCAAGCUGAGGCUGAUAAAUGCUGAUCACAAGAGAUCGUUUUGCAAUUAUUUUGUAUAGAUUGUUAUAAAGAAAAUCAAUUGUUGGUAUGAUCAUAACAGAAUCACAAAACUGUCACAUCGCUUGGUCGACCAGAUAAGUAAAAGUUUAACACAUGUUAUACGAAACGGAGAUCCUGAACACUCCUAUCCAGGUUGUGUUAAUCUGUCG